CUUGUGAAAAAUAAGUGUGCUUAAUUGUAUUGAAUGUCCCCUUGGAGUGUACUUCAAAUCUGAAAAGUACAUUUUUU